GACGAACGCUGGCGGCGCGCCUAACACAUGCAAGUCGAACGGAGUUAUUUCAGCAGAAGCUUUCGGGUGGACGCAGGGAUAACUUAGUGGCGAACGGGUGAGUAACACGUGAGGAACCUGCCCGUGGAGUGGGGGAUAACAGUUGGAAACGACUGCUAAUACCGCAUAAGCCCACAGCACCGCAUGGUGCAGCGGGAAAAGGAGCAAUCCGCUUUGAGACUGGCCUCGCGUCCGAUUAGCUGGUGGUGAGGUAACGGCCCACCAAGGCGACGAUCGGUAGCCGGACUGAGAGGUUGAACGGCCACAUUGGGACUGAGACACGGCCCAG
rnacentral:rRNA from 1 species